GUAUUCUAAGGGCACCCCAUGCUUCAUACGGGCAUUCUUGGGUGUGCAAAUUGCAUCAGACCAGCACAGGAAUAAAUAAUAGUGAAUGACAUAUGCAGACACUAAAGUUCUGCAGCCAAAUUCUCAGAAACUUUCCUCUUCAAUGUAGGAUCAGGAUUUCGUAUUUAAUUGAUUUUUUUAAAGUGCUAAGCAGAUGCUACCCUGUAAUGAGAGGAAACAGAAGCGAAAAACUAAAAGAAUGUUACUUAAACCAAUGAACUGAUGCAGAGAGUGGAAACACAGCAAAGCAAACAAAUGAAUACUGUGAGUAAAUAACCUGAAAGCAAAUGGGGAAGAAAACCUCAUCUGGGUAGUUGUGGCUCUUGGGAUAAAGAUCAGGUUCCUGGUACCUAGUCUGGCUUGGAGCAUCCCUUAUCCCCUGGAUCCCAGACCUGGGAUACAGAUGUCAUUCUCUGUGUGGUGUCCAUAUUUUAUUCCUAGGAAAAGGAUCCCCAAACAAGGUGUAAAGAUCCUGGACUCAAUUGCCUGUAAGAAGCUUCAGCCACCUUCACAGGUAGAAGUCACUGUCUUUCCUACAACGCCAGUAGUGCCCUUUCUGCUCUCCAGGCCUGCUCCCUGCAGCAGGACAGAGACACCCCUUAACUCCCCGAGUCCUGAUUUCCUGCCAUUCAAGGGGCUGGGGGCUUGCAUUGCCCCCACCCCCGCCAUCAGAUACUUUUCCUAUGGGAAUCUCUCUAGAGCAGGGGAGAAAACUGUUCUCUUAGAACCAGUCUGCUCAGUAAAUCCACCCACACUGACCUCAUCUGAGCUGCUUUGUGUAUCCGAGAUUAGCAGUAUCUUUGGAAAACCCUUCGCGAACAGGGGUGUGAGGUGAAGCAGGGGAUAUGGGAGCUCCAGCAGGUUCCCCUGAAGAACACCACCCUGCCUUUCUCUGGUCAGGCCAGGGCUCGCCAUCCAUUGUGGAGGUGAAGACCGGAUGGGAGCUGCUGGAUUGAUCUUGAUGUGCCAUGUCCUUGUGUGGAUGAAGGACCUACAUCUCAGAGAUGGCCAGCAGCAGAUGUACCACGUGUGUCCAGGAACAGGCUAAACAACCUACACUGAUAGAUCUCAGCCGCUCAGCAGAAUGCAGGAGAGCCGAGUGCUGAUGGGCUAGAGGGGUCACCGGAGUCACCACGCAGCUGUGCAGCAGGUGCAGUGUCUGCAGUCACCAUGGGCCAAACCCUGCGCUCCAGACAACACAGGCCAAGUUUCCCUGGAUUGCGAAGGGGACUUUGGCUCAGGGAAUCGGUUGCUGGUGCCUGUGUCCACAGAGAACUGGGAUGUUUUCAUUAGCCCACCAAUGGUCCAUGAAGCGCCAUCCAAGCCAGGGGAGAAUGGACAUUAAAGAGCGAGGCUGGGACCUCUGCGGAGCUGCUGCAAUCGAGCAUCCACAGCCAGAAGAGAGACGAUGGGAAACUCGCUUAGAUGGCUGGCCACAGCAGCAGCAGCCGUCUCAUAAAGCUCUGCUCAUGCUCUAGCCAACAGAGGCAGGGCCAAGAGCCACACAGGGAGAGCCUGGGUUGCAAUUAGCACUAUGCGGUUUUUCAGUGGAUUGUGCUGUCCCGACAGUCUAUUUCCUGUAAUGUGCACAUCCAGCCUCCCUGGCUGACCUCAAUGGAAGUUAGGUGCUCUGUGCCCACAGGAUCAGUGCUCAAUGUGCUCACGCAGCAACCUAGGGUGCAAAAAUGGAACAUGAUAGAUGCAAUGGUCCAAAUAGUUAAAAACCUGUCCUCCCUGUUUGUCCCUACAGUUUUCAUGUUUGCAGUUAAAGGAAGCCAGAUAUCUAGCUACUUGAGAGCCCCCUUGUUCCAGUCAGGCAGAAGAUCAGUGCUAGCAUGUGCACAAACCCUUAUAGGGGAAAGAUGGAUUUUUAACCUAAAGCCAUACCCCGUUCAGCCACGUUUUCACAACUUCACAGGUGAGGCAGUGUAAGAAAUGGCUGUGCCUUUUGCUUAGGAUUUGACUCACUGUGGAAAGACACAUCACAUUAUCCAGUGUUGGAGAACUAAGGGCCUAUUGGACUGCAGACGACCAGCAAAUUAAACAGGAGGUGAUCUUGUAAAAAUAAAGUAUUUAUAUUAACUAAUAAGCCAACCUCUGCCCUAGUCCAGGUCUGCUUUGUGUUUAAACCCUAGGUAAAAUCCAGUGCAUUCAGGCCAGCACGGAGCUGCUGUUUGAAUCCUCUAAUCUGGUCUUUUCAGAGGAAUUUUUGAAUGUUAGAUGUACUGAUCCACAGCAUUCACAUACUCCUUAGUAGCAGGACAACUGCGCACCUCACAACCUUCUACGUAUUUAGCCUCACUACACCCCUGUGAGGUCGGGAAUUAUGACCAUCCCCAUUUCACAAUUGGGGAACUGAGGCACAAUGAGAUAAAGCAAGUUCUGAAGGUAACUCAGGAAAUCUUUGGCAGAACAAGUAGCUGAAUCUGGGUCUACCAAAUCCAGAAUUAGCACCUCAGCCAUGGGAACAUCCUUAAGCCUGACUCCCUUACCCUCCUCUGAAUAUCCUCGUCCUAGUUAAGGCUUCUUCCACUGCAGUGCCCUGUGCCUUCCAUCAGUUAUUCAUUGUCUUAAGACUUUAAAGACCUAAAGGACACCUGUGCCAGCUUUAGAUGAGUAGAAACACAGCUCUGCAGAUGAGCAGAAACACAAUCCACAACAAAACAGCACAAGAAAGUGCAGUGGCCAACUCAGCCAACACAAAACACAUCCGGACAUACAGGUACCCUCAUCUGAUCUGCAAAAGAUAGGUUUCAUUCCACUGAAUGCAUCCGAUGAAGUGAGCUGUAGCUCAUGAAAGCUUAUGCUCAAAUAAAUUUGUUAGUCUCUAAGGUGCCACAAGUCCUCCUGCAAAAAAUGUAGAUCUCUUGUAAUCAGAACUGGUGGAGCUAGAUCCAGAGGUGGUAUAAACUGGAAUAGCUUGAGGAUCUGUAAAUCAAGCACUUUAAUACUUUGAGUGCAUAUUUUGUUUUAAGUCUUUGAUAAAUAAAGAAAAUACCUGCUGAACAAU